rnacentral:rRNA from 1 species
GAUUAGAAUAUUGCACGAUGAAAGCACCGAAACUCGUCUGAUCUUCGAAGUUAAGCAACUGUGGGCAUGAUUAGUUCUUGGAUGGGCGACCACCUGGGAACCUUUGUGCUGUAGGCU